rnacentral:rRNA from 1 species
AAAGUGGCGAACGGCUGAGUAACACGUGGGCAACCUGCCCUUUGCACUGGGAUAGCCUCGGGAAACCGAGGUUAAUACCGGAUACUUCAUAUUUGUCGCAUGGCGAAUAUGGGAAAGCUCCGGCGGCAAAGGAUGGGCCCGCGGCCUGUUAGCUAGUUGGUGGGGUAGUGGCCUACCAAGGCAAUGAUGGGUAGCCGGGUUGAGAGACCGACCGGCCAGAUUGGGACUGAGACACGGCCCAGACUCCUACGGGAGGCAGCAGUGGGGAAUCUUGCACAAUGGGCGAAAGCCUGAUGCAGCGACGCCGCGUGCGGGAUGAAGGCCUUCGGGUUGUAAACCGCUUUCAGCAGGGACGAGGCCGCAAGGUGACGGUACCUGCAGAAGAAGCCCCGGCUAACUACGUGCCAGCAGCCGCGGUAAUACGUAGGGGGCAAGCGUUAUCCGGAUUUACUGGGUGUAAAGGGAGUGUAGGCGGCACUAUAAGUCUGAUGUGAAAACCUAAGGCUUAACCAUAGGAUUGCAUUGGAAACUGUAGAGCUGGAGUAUCGGAGAGGCAAGCGGAAUUCCUGGUGUAGUGGUGAAAUACGUAGAUAUCAGGAAGAACAUCGGUGGCGAAGGCGGCUUGCUGGACGAUAACUGACGCUAAGGCUCGAAAGCGUGGGAAGCGAACAGGAUUAGAUACCCUGGUAGUCCACGCUGUAAACGAUGAACACUAGGUGUUGGGAGGCUAACUCUUUCAGUGCCGCAGCAAACGCAAUUAAGUGUUCCACCUGGGGAGUACGUUUCGCAAGAAUGAAACUCAA